rnacentral:rRNA from 1 species
CCUACGGGAGGCAGCAGUAAGGAAUAUUGGUCAAUGGAGGCAACUCUGAACCAGCCAUGCCGCGUGCAGGAAGAAGGCCCUAUGGGUCGUAAACUGCUUUUGUACCAGAGAAAACCACAGUACGUGUACUGUGUUGAUAGUAUGGUAAGGAUAAGCAUCGGCUAACUUCGUGCCAGCAGCCGCGGUAAGACGAAGGAUGCAAGCGUUAUCCGGAUUCAUUGGGUUUAAAGGGUGCGUAGGCGGACUGAUAAGUCAGUGGUGAAAUCUCUCAGCUUAACUGAGAAACUGCCAUUGAUACUGUUAGUCUAGAGUAUAGAUGACGUUGGCGGAAUAUGACAUGUAGUGGUGAAAUACUUAGAUAUGUCAUAGAACACCGAUUGCGAAGGCAGCUAACGAAACUAUAAACUGACGCUGAGGCACGAAAGUGCGGGGAUCAAACAGGAUUAGAUACCCUGUAGUCCGCACCGUAAACGAUGAUCACUCGUUGUUGGCAAUAUGACCGUCAGCGACCAAGCGAAAGCGANANANACACNGAGAGCGCGACGAGAAGUAAGAAGUAGAGAGAGAGAGNGCGAGGACGACACGAGGGAGAGG